rnacentral:rRNA from 1 species
AGAGUUUGAUCCUGGCUCAGAACGAACGCUGGCGGCAGGCUUACCCCUCUUUAAGUCGAGCGCCCAGCAAUGGGAGCGGCGGACGGGUGCGUAACGCGUGGGAACAUGCCCUUCGGUACGGGACAACUCAGGGAAACUUGAGCUAAUACCGUAUGAUCCGGUAACGGCAAAGAUUUAUCGCCGAGGGAUUGGCCCGCGUUGGAUUAGCUAGUUGGUGGGGUAACGGCCUACCAAGGCUACGAUCCAUAGCUGGUUUGAGAGAACGACCAGCCACACUGGGACUGAGACACGGCCCAGACUCCUACGGGAGGCAGCAGUGGGGAAUCUUGGACAAUGGAGGAAACUCUGAUCCAGCCAUGCCGCGUGAGUGAUGAAGGCCUUAGGGUUGUAAAACUCUUUCGGCGGGGACGAUAAUGACGGUACCCGCAGAAGAAGCUCCGGCUAACUUCGUGCCAGCAGCCGCGGUAAUACGAAGGGGGCUAGCGUUGUUCGGAAUUACUGGGCGUAAAGCGCGCGCAGGCGGCCUUUCAAGUCAGGGGUGAAAGCCCAGAGCUCAACUCUGGAAUUGCCUUUGAAAACUGUUUGGCUUGAGUACGGGAGAGGUGAGUGGAAUU